UUAAAAAAAAAUAAUAAACAGUGAAAUUACUGUUGUUUUUUGUAAUUAUUUAUUUCAUUUGUGCCUAUUAUUCAAAUUAUAAUAAUUGCUAUUAUUAAUCUUUUCAAAUUUAUCUUUUUUAAAAAAAUAUUCAACGUCGGCUAAUUUCAAAAUUAAAAUAAAACUGACAGAGAUGCUGCUUACUUUUGAAUGAACCAUAACCCUAAGCUUUAGGUGAUUGAUCUUCGAAAAUUUAUUGAGCUGCAAUUAAAUGUCAAAAAAAGAAGAUAAGAGAAAAACAAUUCAAUUAAUCAGUGAGUUUAUAAAUCAUCAACUUUAAGAUCUUACAUAUUAAAUACAGAAUUAAAGACUGACUUAAUCAGCCACCAGCUAUAAUUAGACGACCAAGCUGCGAUUAGAUAACGAGUUCUGGUUUAGAUACAAAAAUACAAUAGUUUAAUUAAUAAGACAAUUAAAUAAACUAAAUUAAAAGGAAAUUGAUGCUAAGAAUCCAAGCAACGAAAUUAACUUUUAAAUUUUCUAUUAUAUAGUUCUAGUAUAAAAAAAAA